CAACUGCAUGACCUGAAGGAGUUGUCAACAGAAGACUUUCCUGCUGCUUCAGGCUCGUCUCCAGGGUUCGUCUCGUCUUGUCCGUCAUGACCGCUCGUCCAUCACCUGCAGGAAGAUAAAGAGGAGCAGUGACAAACAGAAAAAGAGGGAAAGAGACUAGUGUCCCACCAGUGACACUGUACUGGUUUCUGCCAACCAAAACUGUCGGUAUUCAACGACCUGUGUCUCUCCUCUCUGGGUCUGAUCACCAUACAGGUCACAGCUGUUCCACCUGAAGCUGAAGACAAGUCCCACUGUUCACCUGGAGAGAGGAGGAGGUACUUUAAUAUAACAUGACCACUACAUGCUCAGACAUUGUUAAACAACUCAUGGACCCUGCUUCUAAAUCAGUAAUUCCACAAAACAGGAACAGAUAAUGUAGGUAAUGGAAGCCCUGGUCCCCCCACCAAAAAACUGUCUAUUUCAAAUAUAGUGGAAGCUUUGACAACGCCACUGAGAGGAGACGCUGGACUCCAUCAAAAGACUUCUUUAAAAAUCGGGUGAGCAGGAUUAAAACCACAACAGUGUAAUUCAAAAAAAGGGUUUCUUACGU